rnacentral:lncRNA from 1 species
CCAUAGGCUCGAUCUCUUCUAGGAUCAAGUCAUCUUGAUUCACCACCUCUCCAUCGAUAAGAAAAUUAGAUAUCAUUGCUGCCCCAAAGAUAAUUUCUUUCCUGUCAUCUUGUUUUUCAUAAAAAACUCUCCAUCGAUAAGAAAAUUAGAUAUCAUUGCUGCCUCAAGGAUAAUUUCUUUCAUGUCAUCUUGUUCUUCAUAAAAAACAAGAACUGCAUCAAAGAUGUACCUGUGACAUCCAAGAAUGAUGAUUGCAAUUGAAGAUCCAAAACUACACGUUAUUCAUUUUCAACUGGUUUUUCAUCAAAAUUAGGUAGAUCAAUUUUCCGACUAUGAGGAAAU